UACGUAGGGGGCAAGCGUUGUCCGGAUUUAUUGGGCGUAAAGAGCGUGUAGGCGGCCAAGUAAGUCUGCUGUGAAAACUCGAGGCUCAACCUCGAGAGGUCGGUGGAAACCGUCUGGCUAGAGUCCGGAAGAGGAGAGUGGAAUUCCCGGUGUAGCGGUGAAAUGCGCAGGAUAUCGGGAAGAACACCCGUGGCGGAAGGCGGCUCUCUGGGACGGUACUGA
rnacentral:rRNA from 1 species